rnacentral:rRNA from 1 species
UAGGUAUUCGUCGUUAUAAGUAAAGCACUUUAUACUGUGAAACUGCGAAUGGCUCAUUAAAUCAGUUAUCGUUUAUUUGAUAGUACCUUACUACAUGGAUACCUGUGGUAAUUCUAGAGCUAAUACAUGCUGAAAACCUCGACUUCGGAAGGGGUGUAUUUAUUAGAUAAAAAACCAAUGCCCUUCGGGGCUCCUUGGUGAAUCAUAAUAACUUAACGAAUCGCAUGGCCUUGCGCCGGCGAUGGUUCAUUCAAAUUUCUGCCCUAUCAACUUUCGAUGGUAGGAUAGUGGCCUACCAUGGUGGCAACGGGUAACGGGGAAUUAGGGUUCGAUUCCGGAGAGGGAGCCUGAGAAACGGCUACCACAUCCAAGGAAGGCAGCAGGCGCGCAAAUUACCCAAUCCCGACACGGGGAGGUAGUGACAAUAAAUACUGAUACGGGGCUCUUUUGGGUCUCGUAAUUGGAAUGAGUACAAUCUAAAUCCCUUAACGAGGAACAAUUGGAGGGCAAGUCUGGUGCCAGCAGCCGCGGUAAUUCCAGCUCCAAUAGCGUAUAUUAAAGUUGUUGCAGUUAAAAAGCUCGUAGUUGAACCUUGGGUCUGGCUGGCCGGUCCGCCUCACCGCGAGUACUGGUCCGGCUGGACCUUUCCUUCUGGGGAAUCUCAUGGCCUUCACUGGCUGUGGGGGGAACCAGGACUUUUACUGUGAAAAAAUUAGAGUGUUCAAAGCAGGCCUUUGCUCGAAUACAUUAGCAUGCAAUAAUAGAAUAGGACGUGCGGUUCUAUUUUGUUGGUUUCUAGGACCGCCGUAAUGAUUAAUAGGGAUAGUCGGGGGCGUCAGUAUUCAACUGUCAGAGGUGAAAUUCUUGGAUUUGCUGAUACUAACUACUGCGAAAGCAUUCACCAAGAUGUUUCAUAAUCAGCGCAACGAAGUUAGGGGAUCGAAGAGAUCAGAUAACGGUCGGAGUCGUAACCAUAAACUAUG